rnacentral:misc_RNA from 1 species
GAAAUGCGAUAAGUAAUGUGAAUUGCAGAAUUCAGUGAAUCAUCGAAUCUUUGAACGCACAUUGCGCCCCCUGGUAUUCCGGGGGGCAUGCCUGUUCGAGCGUCAUUUCACCACUCAAGCCUCGCUUGGUAUUGGGCAACGCGGUCCGCCGCGUGCCUCAAAUCGACCGGCUGGGUCUUCUGUCCCCUAAGCGUUGUGGAAACUAUUCGCUAAAGGGUGUUCGGGAGGCUACACCGUAAAACAACCCCAUUUCUAAGGUUGACCUCGGAUCAGGUAGGGAUACCCGCUGAACUUAAGC